GAAUAUCUGACAAUAGGGCGAAAGCCUGAUCCAGCAAUGCCGCGUGAGUGAUGAAGGCCUUAGGGUUGUAAAGCUCUUUUGUCCGGGAAGAAAAUGACCGUAUCGGGAGAAUAAGCCCCGGCUAACUCCGUGCCAGCAGCCCCCGUAAUACGGAGGGG
rnacentral:rRNA from 1 species